rnacentral:rRNA from 1 species
GACGAACGCUGGCGGCGUGCUUAACACAUGCAAGUCGAACGAUGAAGCCCUUCGGGGUGGAUUAGUGGCGAACGGGUGAGUAACACGUGGGCAAUCUGCCCUUCACUCUGGGACAAGCCCUGGAAACGGGGUCUAAUACCGGAUAUCACUCUCGCAGGCAUCUGUGAGGGUCGAAAGCUCCGGCGGUGAAGGAUGAGCCCGCGGCCUAUCAGCUUGUUGGUGAGGUAACGGCUCACCAAGGCGACGACGGGUAGCCGGCCUGAGAGGGCGACCGGCCACACUGGGACUGAGACACGGCCCAGACUCCUACGGGAGGCAGCAGUGGGGAAUAUUGCACAAUGGGCGAAAGCCUGAUGCAGCGACGCCGCGUGAGGGAUGACGGCCUUCGGGUUGUAAACCUCUUUCAGCAGGGAAGAAGCGAAAGUGACGGUACCUGCAGAAGAAGCGCCGGCUAACUACGUGCCAGCCGCCGCCGUAAGAC